UACGAAGGGUGCAAGCGUUACUCGGAAUUACUGGGCGUAAAGCGUGCGUAGGUGGUUUGUUAAGUCUGUUGUGAAAGCCCCGGGCUCAACCUGGGAAUGGCAAUGGAUACUGGCAAGCUAGAGUGCGGUAGAGGGUAGUGGAAUUCCCGGUGUAGCGGUGAAAUGCGUAGAGAUCAUGAGGAAGACCAGUGGCGAAGGCGGGUCUCUGGACAGUUCCUGACACUGAGGCACGAAGGCCAGGGGAGCAAACGGG
rnacentral:rRNA from 1 species